rnacentral:rRNA from 1 species
CAGCCGCCGCGGUAAUACGAAGGGGGCUAGCGUUGUUCGGAUUUACUGGGCGUAAAGGGUGCGUAGGCGGAUUGUUAAGUCAGGGGUGAAAUCCCGAGGCUCAACCUCGGAACUGCCUUUGAUACUGGCGAUCUUGAGUCCGGGAGAGGUGAGUGGAACUGCGAGUGUAGAGGUGAAAUUCGUAGAUAUUCGCAAGAACACCGGUGGCGAAGGCGGCUCACUGGCCCGGUACUGACGCUGAGGCACGAAAGCGUGGGGAGCAAACAGGAUUAGAUACCCGUGUAGUCCCUGUCUCUUAUAC